rnacentral:rRNA from 1 species
AGCCCGCUCAGAAACUUAAAGGAAUUGACGGGGCCCGGCACAAGCGGUGGAGUAUGUGGUUUAAUUCGAUGCAACGCGAAGAACCUUACCUGGUCUUGACAUCCCGGAGACCCUUAGGAAACUAGGGGGUGCUUCCAUCUGGAAGAAUCUGGAGACAGGUGCUGCAUGGCUGUCGUCAGCUCGUGUCGUGAGAUGUUGGGUUAAGUCCCGCAACGAGCGCAACCCUUGCCUUUAGUUGCCAGCAGUUCGGCUGGGCACUCUAGAGGGACUGCCGGUGUUAAACCGGAGGAAGGUGGGGAUGACGUCAAGUCCUCAUGGCCUUUAUGACCAGGGCUACACACGUACUACAAUGGCCGAUACAAAGGGCAGCGACACUGCGAGGUGAAGCCAAUCCCGUAAAAUCGGUCUCAGUCCGGAUUGGAGUCUGCAACUCGACUUCAUGAAGCUGGAAUCGCUAGUAAUCGCAGAUCAGCCAAGCUGCGGUGAAUACGUUCCCGGGCCUU